GCUUUCUGUGCUCUGCUGAGCUUUCACUGAGAAAAUGUCUGAAGUGUGAGGCUGGAGGUUUCUCAGAAAGGUUUCCACAUAAAUUCAAUUGCCACUUCCUGAAUGACUCUUGCCAAUCUGGAACUUCUCUUGCAGGCCAGUGCAGUGCUGCAAAACUUGGCUGCCAGGUUAGGAACGUGUCUGUCUUGGCUGCUUGUAAAUACUCUAUUGUGUUAAUUUGUAUUAUAGCGAUGGGACACUUUGCUUAAUUUUAGUAUGUUGCAUAUAAUGUUGGGAAACAAAAAAUCUCAAAGUUGCUUCUUGUGUUACUGAGCUGACUGUGAUGAAGGCAAGUAGGAAAUGACAGGAGCCAGAAGGGUGCUGAGCCUCUGUUUUAGGGGAGGGAGGGAGGCAGUCAAGUUCCCUCUCAACACCACUGUGACACAGAGACAGACCCUGAGGUCCCCCAGGCCCUUCGCUGCAAGUGGCGAUUCCUGCUACCAAGACUGGAACCUUGUUUUUACAAGUCAGAAAGUCAAAUAUCUUUGUGCCAUAAAACCUUACUCUCACGGCUGUGCUAGGUGCUCCCAUGAUCCGUGCAGGUUCCCCUCCUGUGUGUGUGGUCCAGGGAAAGGAACUGUCAAAUGGAUUGUAAUCAAGAAAUAAGUUACUUCAUGAAAUUUGAAAUAAGAUUAGUUUGGUUAUUUGUAUGAAUUUAAUGGAAUUUGGCCUUUUUAUUACCUUCUGCUUGACUCUGUGUUCCCUCUGCUUGGAUUCCGUCUGUGAGUGUCGGUGUAAGGCCUUGACGUGUUCAGCCUCGUUACAAGCAUCACAAGAGUGAAGCCAAUCAUCCAGUUGACUUCUGGAGGAACCUGACUGUUGAAAAACAACUCUAAAGUUACCGUUUUUAGCAAAUCUGCUGUCAUUAAAUGUGUAUUUCUUUUUAAAAUGAAUUUGCUUGUCCUUCUUGGAAGGAAGCACUUAUUCUUGCAGUUUGGGCAAAUUCACUGCAGCACAAUGUAAGCUGUAAGGGGACAGGUAGAGAAAUGACUUUUUAAAUAUUGUAUAAUAAAGUUAGUAUUAACUCCUAUGGCGUUAUUAUU
rnacentral:lncRNA from 1 species